rnacentral:rRNA from 1 species
GGCGCUUCACACCCACCUAGAGGAGCCUGUUCUAGAACCGAUAACCCCCGUUCAACCUCACCUUCUCUUGUUCUUACCGCCUAUAUACCGCCGUCGUCAGCCCACCCUGUGAAGGCCCACUAGUGAGCUAAAUUGGCAGAGCCCAAAACGUCAGGCCGAGGUGUAGCGAAUGAGAAGGGAAGAAAUGGGCUACAAUUGCUCCUACAGCUAAUACGGAUUGCAACGCUGAAAAUGCACACAUGAAGGAGGAUUUAGAAGUAAGGGGAGAAUAGAGCGCCCCCCUGAAAUGGCUCUGAAGCGUGCACACACCGCCCGUCACUCUCCCCAAGUAAAACAUUUUACAGUAACUAAACACUUUUCCUUACAAAGGGGAGACAAGUCGUAACAUGGUAAGUGUACCGGAAGGUGCACUUGGAAGAAA